AUGUUCUCUGUGUCUCUAGUGCUGCUACUGGCAGCCACAUCCUAUGUAAUGGGUCAGACACUGAUUGAGUCGGGACCAGUGAUCAUUAAACCUGGUGGAUCUCAUAAACUGACCUGUACAGCCUCUGGGUUUGACUUUGGUGGCGCCUGGAUGGCUUGGGUCAGACAGGCUCCUGGAAAAGGACUGGAAUGGGUGUCAACAAUUAAAGGUGACAGUAGUGGCAAAUAUUACUCCAGUGGUGUUCAGGGAAGGUUCACCAUCUCCAGAGACAACAGUAAGAAACAGCUCUAUCUACAGAUGAACAGUCUGAAGACUGAAGACACAGCUGUGUAUUACUGUGCCAGA